GCGACCACCGAGAUCUACACUCUUUCCCUACACGACGCUCUUCCGAUCUGUUCUGUAAGCGGUUGAAGGUGUACCGGGAGGUAUGCUGGACGUAUCAGAAGUGCGAAUGCUGACAUGAGUAACGAUAAUGCGGGUGAAAAACCCGCACGCCGGAAGACCAAGGGUUCCUAUCCCAUGUUAAUCAGGGUAGGGUAAGUCGACCCCUAAGGCGAGGCCGAAAGGCGUAGUCGAUGGGAAACGGAUUAAUAUUUCCGUACUUGGUAUAAUUGCGAUGGGGGGACGGAGAAGGCUAAGCAAGCAUGGCGAUGGUUGUCCAUGUGAAAGUGAGUAGGGCGUUUGUUUAGGUAAAUCCGGACGAACAUUAAACCUGAGACACGAGACGAGCUACUACGGUAGUGAAGUUGCUGAUGCCAUACUUCCAGGAAAAGCCUCUAAGCUUCAGAUUAUACCGAAUCGUACCCCAAACCGACACAGGUGGUCAGGUAGAGAAUACUAAGGCGCUUGAGAGAACUCGGGUGAAGGAACUAGGCAAAAUCGUACCGUAACUUCGGGAGAAGGUACGCUCCUAUCUGUGAUGAGACUUGCUCUCUAAGCGGACGGGAGCCGCAGUGACCAGGUGGCUGGGACUGUUUAUUAAAAACACAGCACUGUGCAAAAUCGCAAGAUGACGUAUACGGUGUGACACCUGCCCGGUGCCGGAAGGUUAAUUGAUGGGGUUAUCUUCGGAGAAGCUCUUGAUCGAAGCCCCGGUAAACGGCGGCCGUAACUAUAACGGUCCUAAGGUAGCGAAAUUCCUUGUCGGGUAAGUUCCGACCUGCACGAAUGGUGUAACCAUGGCCACGCUGUCUCCACCCGAGACUCAGUGAAAUUGAAAUCGCAGUGAAGAUGCUGUGUACCCGCGGCUAGACGGAAAGACCCCGUGAACCUUUACUACAGCUUGGCACUGAACAUUGAACCUACAUGUGUAGGAUAGGUGGGAGACUUUGAAGAUGAGACGCUAGUCUUGUUGGAGUCGUCCUUGAAAUACCACCCUUGUAGUUUUGAUGUUCUAACGUUGGCCCCUGAAUCGGGGUUACGGACAGUGCCUGGUGGGUAGUUUGACUGGGGCGGUCUCCUCCCAAAGAGUAACGGAGGAGCACGAAGGUUGGCUAAGUACGGUCGGACAUCGUACGGUUAGUGUAAUGGUAGAAGCCAGCUUAACUGCGAGACAGACACGUCGAGCAGGUACGAAAGUAGGUCAUAGUGAUCCGGUGGUUCUGAAUGGAAGGGCCAUCGCUCAACGGAUAAAAGGUACUCCGGGGAUAACAGGCUGAUACCGCCCAAGAGUUCAUAUCGACGGCGGUGUUUGGCACCUCGAUGUCGGCUCAUCACAUCCUGGGGCUGAAGUCGGUCCCAAGGGUAUGGCUGUUCGCCAUUUAAAGUGGUACGCGAGCUGGGUUUAG
rnacentral:rRNA from 1 species